rnacentral:rRNA from 1 species
UAGUGUAUUGGACUACCAUGGCUCUCACGGGUAACGGGGAAUUAGGGUUCGAUUCCGGAGAAGGAGCCUGAGAAACGGCUACUACAUCUAAGGAAGGCAGCAGGCGGGUAAAUUACCCAAUCCUGACUCAGGGAGGUAGUGACAAGAUAUAACGACGCGCCUAAAAAGCGCGAUUGUAGUGAGGGUUUUCCAAACCGAACCACUAGUACGAUUGGAGGGCAAGUCUGGUGCCAGCAGCCGCGGUAAUUCCAGCUCCAAUAGCGUAUAUUAAAGUUGUUGCAGUUAAAAAGCUGGUAGUUGGAUUUCAAGGGUCGCAACGUGGAUAACACGCUUGCACCCUCCCAGUCUUUGACUGUUACUGUGAGAAAAUUAGAGUGUUUCAAGCAGGCUAUUGCAGGAAUACAUUAGCAUGGAAUAACGAAUGUGUCUAGAAUCUUGGUUAAUUCUAGAUUACGAUUAAUAGGGACAGUUGGGGGCAGUAGUAUUUAAUUGUCAGAGGUGAAAUUCUUGGAUUUAUUAAAGACUAACGUAUGCGAAAGCAUUUGCCAAGGAGGUUUUCGUUGUCAUGAACAACAGAUAGGGGAUCAAAGACAAUC